rnacentral:rRNA from 1 species
UACAGAGGUCUCAAGCGUUGUUCGGAAUCACUGGGCGUAAAGGGUGCGUAGGCUGCCCGGUAAGUCAGAGGUGAAAUCCCGGAGCUCAACUUCGGAAUUGCCUCCGAUACUGCCGUGCUUGAGGACUGGAGAGGAGAUUGGAAUUCACAGUGGAGCGGUGAAAUGCGUAGAUAUUGUGAGGAACACUAGUGGCGAAGGCGAAUCUCUGGACAGUUCCUGACGCUGAGGCACGAAGGCCAGGGGAGCAAACGGG